AACGAACGCUGGCGGCAGGCCUAACACAUGCAAGUCGAGGGGGAAGCCACUUUCGGGUGGUGGAGACCGGCGCACGGGUGAGUAACGCGUGGGCACCUGCCCCGGGGUGGGGGAUAACCGCUGGAAACGGCGGCUAAUACCGCAUACGCCCUAUUUUCGUAGAGGAGAUGGGGGAAAGAUUUAUUGCCCUGGGAUGGGCCCGCGUUGGAUUAGCUUGUUGGUGGGGUAAAGCCUACCAAGGCGACGAUCCAUAGCUGGUCUGAGAGGAUGAUCAGCCACACUGGGACUGAGACACGGCCCAGACUCCUACGGGGCAGCAGUGGGAAUAUGGACAAUGGGGGCAACCCUGAUCCAGCCAUGCCGCGUGCGUGAAGAAGGCUUUAGGGUUGUAAAGCGCUUUCACCGGUGACGAUGAUGACGGUAGCCGGAGAAGAAGCCCCGGCUAACUCCGUGCC
rnacentral:rRNA from 1 species